rnacentral:rRNA from 1 species
UACGAAGGGUGCAAGCGUUACUCGGAAUUACUGGGCGUAAAGCGUGCGUAGGUGGUGAGUUAAGUCUGUCGUGAAAGCCCGGAGCUCAACCUGGGAAUGGCGAUGGAUACUGGCUCGCUAGAGUGCGGUAGAGGAGAGUGGAAUUCCCGGUGUAGCAGUGAAAUGCGUAGAGAUCGGGAGGAACAUCAGUUGCGAAGGCGGCUCUCUGGACCAGCACUGACACUGAGGCACGGAAAGCGUGGGAGCA